rnacentral:rRNA from 1 species
GAUGAACGCUGGCGGCGUGCCUAAUACAUGCAAGUCGAACGCUGGAGAUCUAGCUUGCUAGAUCGAAGGAGUGGCGAACGGGUGAGUAAUACAUAAGAAACCUACCCACGAAGACUGGGAUAAUCUCUGGAAACGGGGACUAAUACCGGAUAGGUAAUCGGAAGGCAUCUUCUGGUUAUUAAAGGUUAAAAACCAUGGUGGAUGGGCUUAUGGCGCAUUAGUUAGUUGGUGGGGUAACGGCCCACCAAAACGAUGAUGCGUAGCCGGCCUGAGAGGGUGAACGGCCACAUUGGGACUGAGACACGGCCCAGACUCCUACGGGAGGCAGCAGUAGGGAAUUUUCGGCAAUGGGGGCAACCCUGACCGAGCAACGCCGCGUGAGUGAAGACGGCCUUCGGGGUGUAAAGCUCUGUUGUAAGGGAAGAACGGUAGAUAGAGAAUAUCUAAGUGACGGUACCUUACCAGAAAGCCACGGCUAACUACGUG